GUGAAGUUUACCGUUCUUUGUCAUUUUUUCGGGACCAGGGGAAGGCCGUGAGAAUCGGCCACAGUUGCGCUGCGGUAUCGCAUCAGACCAGACCCACACCACGCCGGUGAACGCGUGGGCAAAGCCAAUCGGAGUCGCAUCCGGUGAAGGCGAGGGGCGAGGCGGGUGUUUUCCAUCACGGGAAGCACCGACACAUGCGGAGUCCGAACAUCCUGCCCGGAGAACUCACGCGUC
rnacentral:ncRNA from 1 species